rnacentral:rRNA from 1 species
AGCGAACGCUGGCGGCAGGCCUAACACAUGCAAGUCGAACGAACCCUUCGGGGUUAGUGGCGGACGGGUGAGUAACACGUGGGAACGUGCCUUUAGGUUCGGAAUAACUCAGGGAAACUUGUGCUAAUACCGAAUGUGCCCUUCGGGGGAAAGAUUUAUCGCCUUUAGAGCGGCCCGCGUCUGAUUAGCUAGUUGGUGAGGUAAUGGCUCACCAAGGCUGCGAUCAGUAGCUGGUCGGAGAGGAUGACCAGCCACAUUGGGACUGGGACGCGGCCCAAACUCCUACGGGAGGCAGCAGUGGGGAAUCUUGCGCAAUGGGCGAAAGCCUGACGCAGCCAUGCCGCGUGGAUGAUGAAGGUCUUAGGAUUGUAAAAUCCUUUCACCGGUGAAGAUAAUGACUGUAGCCGGAGAAGAAGCCCCGGCUAACUUCGUGCCAGCAGCCGCCGCAGUAA